AGCAGCCGCGGUAAUUCCAGCUCCAAUAGCGUAUAUUAAAGUUGUUGCAGUUAAAAAGCUCGUAGUUGAAUUUCGGGAUCAAUAUGUUGGUCGUGCCUCGGUACGUACUAGCUUAUUGGUCUCUCCUUUCUGAAGAACCAUGAUGUCAUUUAUUUGGUGUCGUGGGGAAUCAGGACUGUUACUUUGAAAAAAAUUAGAGUGUUUAAAGCAGGCUCACGCUUGAAUACAUUAGCAUGGAAUAAUGAAAUAGGACGUUUGAUUCUAUUUUGUUGGUUUCUAGGAUCGACGUAAUGAUUAAUAGGGAUAGUUGGGGGCAUUAGUAUUCAAUUGUCAGAGGUGAAAUUCUUGGAUUUAUUGAAGACUAACUACUGCGAAAGCAUUUGCCAAGGAUGUUUUCAUUAAUCAAGAACGAAAGUUAGGGGAUCGAAGACGAUCAGAUACCGUCGUAGUCUUAACCAUAAACUAUGCCGACUAGGGAUCGGAUGAUGUUGAUUUUUUUAAUGACUCAUUCGGCGCCUUA
rnacentral:rRNA from 1 species